AAACAAACGACAAGCCCUUCAGGCAGAUGCUGCAAAAGGCGCCAAACUAUCUGAAAUGUUUGGUGCUGCAGCAGCUGGAGCUGACUCAGCACGGCGCCGCCAGGUGAUGAUGGAGGAAUUAACCUUUAGUAUAUAGGGAGUUAGGAGAGAGAGGUGGAAAGAUGGCAGCACCCGGCAACAUGCGGUCAUGGAGGACGUGCCCUCCAUUUUGCUAACGUGCAGCUGUGACCCAGGACGCUGCAGAAACACAGUGGCAACGUUUAGACGUGGUUGGUGUUAUCGCUCGGUUUGCCUCUACACUAAAGCAGUUGUGUUACUGUUGAUGUCACAGUGAGCAGGGACAGUCUGGAGGACUUAACCAACUUCCUGGUUGUUCUGUCACUUGUUGAUUUGUGUGAGUUGAAUGAAUCUGUGUCUGCUAAUAGCUUUGAGGGCUUUGAAGGA